GACGAACGCUGGCGGCGUGCCUAAUACAUGCAAGUAGAGCGCUGAAGCUUGGUGCUUGCACCGAGCGGAUGAGUUGCGAACGGGUGAGUAACGCGUAGGUAACCUGCCUGGUAGCGGGGGAUAACUAUUGGGAACGAUAGCUAAUACCGCAUAAGAGUAGAUGUUGCAUGACAUUUGCUUAAAAGGUGCAAUUGCAUCACUACCAGAUGGACCUGCGUUGUAUUAGCUAGUUGGUGAGGUAACGGCUCACCAAGGCAACGAUACAUAGCCGACCUGAGAGGGUGAUCGGCCACACUGGGACUGAGACACGGCCCAGACUCCUACGGGAGGCAGCAGUAGGGAAUCUUCGGCAAUGGACGGAAGUCUGACCGAGCAACGCCGCGUGAGUGAAGAAGGUUUUCGGAUCGUAAAGCUCUGUUGUAAGAGAAGAACGAGUGUGAGAGUGGAAAGUUCACACUGUGACGGUAUCUUACCAGAAAGGGACGGCUAACUACGUG
rnacentral:rRNA from 1 species